GGAGAGGUGCUGGAGUGGUUGAACAGGGCGGCCUGCUAAGCCGUUGUAGGGGGUAACCUCUACCGAGGGUUCGAAUCCCUCCCUCUCCGCCA
rnacentral:tRNA from 1 species